CAGCACCUCAAGUGGUCAGGAUGAUUAUUGGGCCUAAAGCAUCCGUAGCCGGCUCUGUAAGUUUUCGGUUAAAUCUGUAUGCUCAACAUACAGGCUGCCGGGAAUACUGCAGAGCUAGGGAGUGGGAGAGGUAGACGGUACUCGGUAGGAAGGGGUAAAAUCCUUUGAUCUAUUGAUGACCACCCGUGGCGAAGGCGGUCUACCAGAACACGUCCGACGGUGAGGGAUGAAAGCUGGGGGAGCAAACCGGAUUAGAUACCCGAGUAGUCC
rnacentral:rRNA from 1 species